CACCCCCAUCCCCUGACAUGAGAAACACUGGUCCACGGCUGAGACCAUACCCCCUCCUUCCAGGCCCCGCCUCCUAAAGUCCGACACUCUCACCUGUUUAGUGAGAUCAGCAGGCAGCGCAGUACAGAGCCGUGCAGGCAGUGCAGUGGCCGACCCUCCCCUUUCCUCCAGAGUCCGGACACUCUCUCCUCACUCGGGUCCUGAGCCUGACACACACAAGCUCCGCCUCCCACACUAUACUACAGGAGGAAGGAGCUGCUGGUGAUGUGCUGCAUGAUGCCAGCCAGAGUGCACUGCAUAGUGUGAAGAUGGUGAAAACCAAAGCAUUCUAUUCUGGAGCCCGUUCACCGUCACUUCCCAAGAAAAUGUCUGCGACAAUGCCACAGAUUCUAAAGAAGAAAGCAGGAAAGGAAAAUGUUCCUGUUGUCAUAAAGGGGGAAGAACUGUGUCGAAGAAGACGCUUAGAGAAGGAACGCUUUGAGUAUUGGAACGCACAGCUGACAUGCACAGCUGUGCAUGGUUGAAGUUACAGAUAUACUAAUUGUGAGUGCACUGCAUAGUGUGAAGAUGGUGAAAACCAAAGACCAUUCUAUUCUAGAGCCCGUUCACCGUCACUUCCCAAGAAAAUGUCUGCGGGAGUACCACAGAUUCUAAAGAAGAAAGCAGGAAAGGAAAAUGUUCCUGUUGUCAAAGUAAGGAAAAAUGCAAAGGCCAAAUGCCAAUUUUUGGUGGACACAAUUGGCAAUUUAACCAAUGAAUAUUUGGUGCAAGAGAUGAAUGCUGCUGUAGAGAACACAGUUAUCUGUGAUGAAACACACACAGUGAUGGAUGUGUCAUGUACCAUAGAUGAGGACUUUCAUGACACUACACCACUCAUACAAGCAUCGCAAUCACCGACCCGUAGGAGACUUGAAUUUAAAGAUCCUAACCAAUGUGAAUGCAGCUGCACAGGGUUGGUGAGAGACCUUCUGGGCAAGGUGACUCACCUUCAAGCGCAAAUUGAUGGACUGACAGGAAAACUGGAUGGACUUUGUAGUGAUAACAGCAAGGGGGGAGUUUCAAGGCUCGUUACUGUUACAUUAUACAGUGCACUGUACAUUGUUACAGUACAUUGUACACUGUAGACUCUACAGUAGACUCUCACUACUAAAGGGGAAAAUAACACAAAACAGAACUGUAAACUAGAAAAACUUUAAUAAAACAAAAAAAAUGAAAGAAAGAAAUAUAAAUUAAAGAUUGCGUAAAAUAAUAUAAAAAAUUCUAUUCACCACCGCCCACAAAAUCAGAAGCAAUUGCCAGACUUGCUCUGUGAAAAUAAAAAUCAAUGUACAGUAUUAGGACAGUAAUACAGGUUGAGUACUGUACAGCACGUCAUCAAAGUUUA